rnacentral:rRNA from 1 species
AUUGAACGCUGGCGGCAGGCCUAACACAUGCAAGUCGAGCGGAUGAAGGGUGCUUGCUCCUGGAUCCAGCGGCGGAAGGGUGAGUAAUGCACAGGAAUAUGCCUCGCAGUGGGGGAUAACGUCCGGAAACGGGUGCUAAUACUGCAUACGUCCUGAGGGAGAAAGUGGGGGAUCUUCGGAACUCAUGCUAUCAGAUGAGUCUAGGUCGGACUGGUUAGUUGGUGGGGUAAAGGCCUACCAAGGCGGCGUUCCGUAACUGGUCUGAGAGGAUGGUCGGUCACACUGGAACGGGGACACGGUCCAGAGUCCUGCGGGAGGCAGCAGUGGGGAAUAUUGGACAAUGGUCGAAAGCCUGAUCCAGCCAUGCCGCGUGUGUGAAGAAGGUCUUCGGAUUGUAAAGCACUUUAAGUUGGGGGGAAGGGCAGUAAGUUAAUACCUUGCUGUAUUGACGUUACCAACAGAAUAAGCACCGGCUAACUACGUG